UACAGAGGGUGCGAGCGUUAAUCGGAAUUACUGGGCGUAAAGCGCGCGUAGGCGGCUUUGCAAGUCGGGUGUGAAAUCCCCAGGCUUAACCUGGGAACUGCAUUCGAUACUGCCGUGCUUGAGGACUGGAGAGGAGACUGGAAUUUACGGUGUAGCGGUGAAAUGCGUAGAUAUCGUAAGGAAGACCAGUGGCGAAGGCGGGUCUCUGGACAGUUCCUGACGCUGAGGCACGAAGGCCAGGGGAGCAAACGGG
rnacentral:rRNA from 1 species